CAAGUACUCCCUCCGUCCAGAAUUACUUGUCAUCAAAAUGGAUGUGUCUAGAACUAAAAUACAUCUAGAUACAUCCAUUUCAAUGACAAGUAUUUUCGAACGGAGGGAGUACAAG
rnacentral:pre_miRNA from 1 species